rnacentral:rRNA from 1 species
UACGGAGGGUGCAAGCGUUAAUCGGAAUUACUGGGCGUAAAGCGUGCGUAGGCGGUUCGUUAAGUCUGUUGUGAAAGCCCCGGGCUCAACCUGGGAAAUGGCAAUGGAUACUGGCGAGCUAGAGUGUGUCAGAGGAUGGUGGAAUUCCCGGGUGUAGCGGUGAAAUGCGUAGAGAUCGGGAGGAACAUCAGUGGCGAAGGCGGCCAUCUGGGACAACACUGACGCUGAGGCACGAAAGCGUGGGGAGCAAACAGG